rnacentral:rRNA from 1 species
UGGGGAAUUUUGGACAAUGGGCGAAAGCCUGAUCCAGCAAUGCCGCGUGUGUGAAGAAGGCCUUCGGGUUGUAAAGCACUUUUGUCCGGAAAGAAAUCCUUGGGCUCUAAUACAGUCGGGGGAUGACGGUACCGGAAGAAUAAGCACCGGCUAACUACGUGCCAGCAGCCGCGGUAAUACGUAGGGUGCAAGCGUUAAUCGGAAUUACUGGGCGUAAAGCGUGCGCAGGCGGUUUGCUAAGACCGAUGUGAAAUCCCCGGGCUCAACCUGGGAACUGCAUUGGUGACUGGCAGGCUAGAGUAUGGCAGAGGGGGGUAGAAUUCCACGUGUAGCAGUGAAAUGCGUAGAGAUGUGGAGGAAUACCGAUGGCGAAGGCAGCCCCCCUGGGCCAAAUACUGACGCUCAUGCACGAAAGCGUGGGGAGCAAACAGGAUUAGAUACCCUGGUAGUCCACGCCCUAAACGAUGUCAACUAGUUGUUGGGGAUUCAUUUCCUUAGUAACGUAGCUAACGCGUGAAGUUGACCGCCUGGGGGAGUACGGUCGCAAGAUUAAAACUCAAAUGAAUUGACGGGGUCAUAGCUGUUUCCU